UAGGGAAUCUUCGGUAAUGGGGGCAACCCUGACCGAGCAACGCCGCGUGAGUGAAGAAGGUUUUCGGAUCGUAAAGCUCUGUUGUAAGAGAAGAACGUGUGUGAGAGUGGAAAGUUCACACAGUGACGGUAACUUACCAGAAAGGGACGGCUAACUACGUGCCAC
rnacentral:rRNA from 1 species